GCUACAGGCUUAACACAUGCAAGUCGAGGGGUAACGAGAGGGAAGCUUGCCUUCCUUGUCGACGACCGGCGGAUGGGUGAGUAACGCGUAUCCAACCUGCCCUUCAGUAAGGGAUAGCCUUUCGAAAGAAAGAAUAAUACCUUAUGUGAUCGUCUGAUGACAUCAGAUGACGAUCAAAGAUUUAUCGCUGAAGGAUGGGGAUGCGUCCCAUUAGGCAGUAGGCGGGGUAACGGCCCACCUAACCUACGAUGGGUAGGGGUUCUGAGAGGAAGGUCCCCCACAUUGGAACUGAGACACGGUCCAAACUCCUACGGGAGGCAGCAGUGAGGAAUAUUGGUCAAUGGCCGUAAGGCUGAACCAGCCAAGUAGCGUGAAGGAUGACGG
rnacentral:rRNA from 1 species